AUACGGAGGAUGCAAGCGUUAUCCGGAUUUAUUGGGUUUAAAGGGUGCGUAGGCGGUUUGCUAAGCGGGAGGUGAAAUGCCGGCGCUCAACGUCGGAAGUGCCUCCCGAACUGGUGGACUUGAAUGACUCUGCCGUGGGAGGAAUGUGUAGUGUAGCGGUGAAAUGCAUAGAGAGUACACAGAACACCGAUUGCGAAGGCAGUUCACGACGAGUUGAUUGACGCGGAGGCACGAAAGCGUGGGGAUCAAACAGGAUUAGAUACCCUGGUAGUCCACGCAGUAAACGAUGAUGGCUAACCGCUGGGCUUAUCAGUUCAGUGGCCAAGCGAAAGCGAUAAGCCAUCCACCUGGGGAGUACGACCGCAAGGUUGAAACUCAAAGGAAUUGGCGGGG
rnacentral:rRNA from 1 species